rnacentral:rRNA from 1 species
CGGGUGAGUAACGCGUGGAUAACCUGCCGUAUACAGGGGGAUAACACUUAGAAAUAGGUGCUAAUACCGCAUAAGCGCACAGCUUCGCAUGAAGUGGUGUGAAAAACUCUGGUGGUAUACGAUGGUUCCGCGUCUGAUUAGCUUGUUGGUGGGGUAAUGGCUCACCAAGGCGACGAUCAGUAGCCGGCCUGAGAGGGUGAACGGCCACAUUGGGACUGAGACACGGCCCAAACUCCUACGGAAGGCAGCAG